rnacentral:sRNA from 1 species
UAAUAGUCAACAGGAAGGACCUGAGCCCGGAAACUACUCAACGUCUGCUGACCUCUGCCCUCGUUAUUUCAUGGGCAUCCAUUAUCUUUUCAUUAGGGACCGGACUAGCAGCCUUGGUUCUCAGUGUCCAUGGCAACAGUGAAUCACUUUUUGCCUUCGGGUUGGACGCGGUGCUAGACAGCCUGUCAUCGUGUGCAGUGUUGUGGCGUUUCCAAGGCAACGUUGAUUGUGUUUACUCGCUGGCGAGAGAACGGAAGGCCUGCAUUGCCAUAGGUGUCUUGUUUCUGGUCUCAGCGGCGUCUCUGAUCAUUAAGUCUGUUGUAGCCAUCGCCAACGAGACUCACGAAGAGGAGGU